rnacentral:rRNA from 1 species
GAUGAACGCUGGCGGCGUGCCUAAUACAUGCAAGUCGAGCGAACAGACGAGGAGCUUGCUCCUCUGACGUUAGCGGCGGACGGGUGAGUAACACGUGGAUAACCUACCUAUAAGACUGGGAUAACUUCGGGAAACCGGAGCUAAUACCGGAUAAUAUAUUGAACCGCAUGGUUCAAUAGUGAAAGACGGUUUUGCUGUCACUUAUAGAUGGAUCCGCGCGGCAUUAGCUAGUUGGUAAGGUAACGGCUUACCAAGGCGACCAUGCGUAGCCGACGUGAGCGAGGGAUAGCCGACCCGGGAGCGAGAACGGGAUCAAUACGACUACGAGACGCAGCAGUAUGCUACCUGACGCAAUGGGCGGAAGCCUGACAGAGCAGCGGCGCGUGAGUGAUAAAAGUGCUCGGAUCGGGAAAAUCGGUUAGUAGGGAAGAACAAAUGUGGAAGUAACUAUGCAGGUCUUGACGGUACCUGAUCAGAAAGCCACGGCUAACUACGUG